CAGGGGUGAGCAACAGUUGCUCGGAAUCAUUGGGCGUAAAGCGCACGUAGGCGGUCUGUUAUGUCGGAUGUGAAAGCCCUUGGCUCAACUGAGGAAGUGCAUCCGAAACUGGCAGGCUAGAGUACUAAAGAGGAUCGCGGAAUUCCCGGUGUAGAGGUGAAAUGCGCAGAUAUCAGGAAGAACACCCGUGGCUAAGGCGGCUCUCUAGUACGUGACUGACGCUGCGACGCGAAAGCGUGGGGAGCGAACAGG
rnacentral:rRNA from 1 species